rnacentral:pre_miRNA from 1 species
AGUGGAAUUGCUGGGAUAUAACUCUGUGUUUAAUCUUUUGAGAAACUGCCAAACUGUUUUCUAAAGCAGCUGUAUUUUCAUGUUCUCAUUGGCAGU